CUCAACGAUUUCACGCCACGGUUCGGUUCCUCGUCGCAAGAGGAAUUUAAGCGGACUUUGCCAGGAAGUCCUGUUGGAAGCCGACCGGGUGCUGCAGUGGGGGUGGGGGCAUGGAGGGGGCUGAGCGCUGGCACCCUGGCUGCCCCCCUCCACCGCCUCGACCCCCCACCCCAGCCCUGGGCCAGAGUUCAUUAUUCACGGGCAUCCCGGCUUCCCUCCUGGCACGCACCAUGUGCCAUGCGUAGGCUCCGAGGACUGCGGCGAGGCCACCCAGACCCUGCCCUCUGGGGCUUGAGUCCAACGGUGGGGGAAACACUGAUGGGGGAACCACGGCUCCCAGGGGGCCCGGGGCCAGGGUGGUCAGAGCCAAGGGUGCACAGCUGUAGGCGGAGCAGCCUGGACGCCCAUGUCGCUCCCGGGUACUCUGCCUCCUGGAGCCGGCGCUGCACCUGCAGCGGGAGGAGGGCGCGGGCGCCUGGGGCCAGGCCUUCUU
rnacentral:lncRNA from 12 species